GCGAGAGCGAGAGCGAAUUCUAAUCAGGGCUCCGCACUGGCAGGGCUUGAAUUGAUGAACUGUGAGAUCAUGACCUGAGCCAAAACCAAGAGUUGGACGCUUAACCUACUGAGCCACCCAGGUUAGCUGCCCUAUUCUCUCUGGAUAGAUCCUUUUUCUGGCAAAUCAGAGUCCUUCAUUUUCUUGGCACAAGGACAGGCCUGGAGAAGCUAAAAGGAUAUCAGUCUGGAGAAAGCUGAGGGUAGACAUAGAAGAAGCCAAAUGGAGACCAGAGGAAAUGAGGGAAGCAGAAGAACAGACUUACCGCCAACUGGAGGCAGAUGCCUGCUGACGACGGGUCAGAAGGUCAGUGGUCACCUACCUCUACGUCACAAUCCUGCGUCCUUCACCCGACUUCUCAUCACAGAGGCAUUUUCUCAUCUCACAUCAUCACAAGUAAGGGCUCAUGAAAGAUACAAGCUCAAGACAAAAGAGAACAAGAAAACCUUGGAACCAGAUUUCUGGUCACAAUAAAGAAAUUACUUUAAG